UACGUAGGGUGCAAGCGUUAAUCGGAAUUACUGGGCGUAAAGCGUGCGCAGGCGGUUUUGUAAGUUUGUCGUGAAAUCCCCGGGCUCAACCUGGGAACUGCAUUUGUGACUGCACGGCUAGAGUGUGUCAGAGGGGGGGUAGAAUUCCACGUGUAGCAGUGAAAUGCGUAGAUAUGUGGAGGAAUACCGAUGGCGAAGGCAGCCCCCUGGGAUGACACUGACGCUCAUGCACGAAAGCGUGGGGAGCAAACAGG
rnacentral:rRNA from 1 species